AGUUUCUUCAUCUUAAGCUGGAGAUGACUGCAGUAUCCAUCCUAAUAGGGUCGAUUAGAGGAUUGUAUGAAUCAAUCUAGGAGAGGGAAAAAUCCAAUAGAUAAAGGUUUCAUGAAAACAACAAUGAGAUACCACUAUACACCUGUUAGAAUGACUAAAAUCCAGAACACUGACAACACCAAAUGCUGCUGAAGAUAUGGAGCAACAUGAACUCCUACUCACUUUUGCGUCAUGGAAUUUGUUCAUCAGAACGAAAUGUGUGAAAUACACCCAAAGACUCUUUGCCAGUCCAAUAUGCAAAGAAACCAACAAUGAGCUUAAAAACUGUUUUGUUUUGUUGGGUCAAUUGACUGAAAAAAGAUGGGGACAAUUCGUCAUUCAUCAAUCGGUGCCAGAAAAAAAAAUCAGUGUUAUUUUUAGAGGUAGUGAUAUACAAACAGGAAAGCAGACAAGAGGAGACCCACCAUGGACCGCCUGUGGAGUUUUGAUCAAGUCGCUCAGCCUUUUUGGGCCUCAAGGGCACACAGUUGGUGGCGGAGCCGAGCUGAUCAUCUGUGACUCUCAUCUCACAGUUUGUGUUCUGAAUCCACUAUCCUCCAUGGAGACAGACACCAUCAAGGACAAGCACCUGGACUAUCUCCUCCUGCAAAGAGAUAUGGACUGGUGGGAAAGCUGCUGACCAGCAAGGUCAUGAGCUCCCUCCUCUCUGCAAGUGUCUCAAGGCCAAAGACAGGCUGGUGGGAAAGCUCCGACCAGCAAGGCCAUAUGCUCCCCCUCCCCUACCUAAAACCCCAAAUAAAAACCCGUCCUUUUAGCUUUUCGGGGAGUUUGGGAUUUCAGCGUUAGCUGCCCUCUCUCCUUGCUCAGCGCUGUGCAAAAAUAAAAUUCCUGCUUUCUUCCACCACCCCUGGUGUCAGAGAUUGGCUUGCUGUGCAACGGGUGAGCGAACUCACUUCGGGUUCGGUAACAGUUUCUCUAACCUUCCUCCGUGGUGGCGCCAGCCAGGACAGGUGCUUUUGUACCUCAAGGAACUAGUUACUGUCUUUCUGGAGGUUUCUUAGUAAAAUGCCAUGGAAAAGGGAAGAAGCCAAGGCUGGCAGGAGGGAUGUGGG
rnacentral:lncRNA from 1 species